rnacentral:sRNA from 12 species
CAGAGCUGGUAAUAAUAAACUAUGUUGUGCCUAGAUGUUCCCGAGUGGUACACUCAACUUAAGUUUAGGAGCGACACAAUUUAGCACCGCCGCUCUA